UAGGGAAUAUUGGGCAAUGGGCGAAAGCCUGACCCAGCAACGCCGCGUGUGCGAUGAAGGCCUUCGGGUCGUAAAGCACUUUUCUGAGGAAUGAGAAAGGACAGUACCUCAGGAAUAAGUCUCGGCUAACUACGUGCCAGCAGCCGCGGUAAAACGUAGGAGACGAGCGUUAUCCGGAUUUACUGGGCGUAAAGCGUGUGCAGGCGGUUCGGCAAGUUGGAUGUGAAAUCUCCCGGCUCAACUGGGAGGGGUCGUUCAAUACUACCGAACUUGAGGUCAUCAGAGGAAGAUGGAAUUCCCGGUGUAGUGGUGAAAUGCGUAGAUAUCGGGAGGAACACCAGUGGCGAAGGCGGUCUUCUGGGAUGAUCCUGACGCUCAGACACGAAAGCUAGGGGAGCGAACGGG
rnacentral:rRNA from 1 species